AGCUCCCUCCUGCUUCCCGGCCGCUGUGCUGAGUUGGACUCCCCUUUGCUUUUCCUAGAUCUCCUUGGGGCCUUCUCACAACGCCCGGCAGCAGGCAGGAAGCAGCAGGCCGUUGGGCAGGGCUGCGCCUGUAACUCGCCUGGCAGCCGUGCGGCUGGGACAGCGUGCUGAGCGUCCACCGUCCCUCUCAGGGUUUGGAUCUACAAAAAGGUAAAGUCUUUUCUGUGGUUAUUUGUAAAUGCUUCCUACAGAUUCAGUUAAAUGGCUUUGUGUUCUGAAAUUGCUCCCAAGACAUUGAUCUGGACUUCAUACACGUAUGUACAAAAUGACUUUGUUUUCUGUGCAAUGGUGGUAAAACAGUUAAAAAGCAAGCAAAGAAGCCAAAGCCGGUGAACUGUUUUUUAAACAGGCUGAAAGUGCCACCUACGGUCCACUCCGUAGAAAUGCCCAAAGAAUGUAGUCUGAGCCUUAUGGACUGAGAGUCACAGGAACUAGGAAUUUAAGGCUGAUUUAGUUAACGACACCCCUGGUGAGAAGACUAAUGAAGACAAAAGAAAUCAGAAAUCUGAAGAUCUUUGGGAACUCCGUGCUCAUGAUGUAAAUGGCGAGACGUGCAUGAAGGUUCUUAGCCAGGGGUCCUCACAGGAUUUUCCAGGCCCUGUUACAGGUCAACAGGGAACCAGGUAGUGAGUGUCGGGGCAAAGCCCCCAGGCUGAGGCCAGGCCGGGUCUCCCGCCAGUCUCCUUCCUUCCGUGCACCACGAGUGCAAGCGAGUGUUAUCACUUCUCCUACAGAAUGAAGGUGUGUGUUGCAGGAAAGCUGGAGUGAACUCUCUAGUGACAUAAAUUUAAAACUACAGCAAGAGGGAGAUGGAGGGAGGGAGACAGAUAAACAGAUAUGAUGUGCCCUGGCUUUAGUCUAUAGUGCAAAAUUUAUGAAAACAGAAAAUGAUAUUAAAACCGGUUAGUCUUCAGUAUUUUUAUUGGUGCCUGUAUUAAACAAUUGAUCAGUCAUCUAAAUAUCAUAGAUUCUAAAUCAUAAACUAGGAUUUUAAAACACUGUGGUUUUCUGUGUUACCAAAAUGUACUUUUGAAGCCAAUGUCCAAAUCAUCCAGUGUCUUCUUUUCCUGAGUGUUUGGUCACGUGUUGUUGUCUUUUUAACUUUUGUUUUAUAUUUGAGGUAGAGCCCUUUAGCAAAGAGUGCUGUGAUAGUUUCAAGUGAACACUAAAGGGAGCAAUUCAGCCAUACACAUCCAUGUGUCCUUUCUCCCCCAAACUCCCCUCCCAUCGAGGCCGCUACAUGACAUGGAGAUCCAUGUGCCAAACAGUGAGUCCUCGUUGAUUCUUAACCAAAUCGGACCUCUGUUGCAUCAUCAGAGACCGUAUCAGAAUGUUUCCCAGAGGUUAGAGAGGAGUUUCCUGGAAAAUACUCAGCGCACCCCCUGUUGCCAGAUGAAGGCUGUUUAUAUCUGGGUGCUAGUUUUGAGAGAGCUUGGUGAGCUGGACCAGCUCCUACAGAGAUGGAAAGAGCUUGUCACCAUCAACAUUCCCCAGUAGGUUCAGCCUCCCCCGAAUGCGCCCUGAGUCCUGACCGCUGAGCAGGCCAAGCCCGGUCCUCCCUCCGCCCCCAGCGCCUCCUCCGGCAAGAGCGCGGGCCGCAGGAGACAGAGGGACUGACCGCUCGUCCCCUCCUACCCCCCCACUCCCAGGCAUGGACGAGCCCAGCUCCCUGCUCUGGUUGAAGGAGGAAGAAGGUCCAACAGCAGCCCCAGAAGAAGCGCAGAGGGGCCCCUCCAUUCCCAGGACUUUCACAGGAAACCUCCUGACCAGACUCUCCUGUGAGUCACAGCAGGGAGGCAGAAAUGAACACAUCCCCUCUGGAGGAUGAUUGGAAUGAAGAAAUAUUUGACUUUCCUCCCCCCCUUCCCCCCAACACCUUUUUGUAUAAAUAGAAAAGAAGCCUGAAUUCUAUCUCAGGUAAGAUGGGUCCUUGGUGCAAGAGUCCCGGGUUUCUGAAUAAAGCUGCUGUCCUUGCCCCAACAACUCAUCUCUCAGUUAAUUGGCCUGUCAUGAGGUGAGCACUACAAGCUUGGACUCAGUUACAGAAGAGCUGGCACUCUUGCUCUCUCAGGAAGAGUUCUGUUUUCAUUCAUCAUGUAUUUGAGUCCCGCUCAGAGCCAGGCCCUAGCUAACUGAUCACUCACCCUUGGAGACCCAGCUCAGAUCUCACCUGGUCCACAAUGCCUUUCUCCAUCCCCUGCUCUGCCUGCACCAUUUUCUGCCUCACUAAGGACCACUCAAGUCUUUAACUACACUUCAAUGAGCUCUCCAGCUUGUAAGCCCUGUGACGACCUCGAAGAUGCAGAAUGGGGCUCAGAAAAUGUGACGAUGAUGAAUGACCAAAUCAAUGAGCUGGUUAAACACAAACCAGGCUUAGGUCACAUUCACCAAAGGUGUCAUCUUCUUCUCCCUCCUUCCAGGGCCAGAGUUUCAGGGGAACCUUUACACAGAGCCCAAGAAUCUUCUCUGACACGAACCUCAUCUAAAACAUUACCUGUCUGAAUAGAUUUUAUUUUCAGUUUUAUUUCUUUUUACACUUGAUGUCACUUCAUGACUAUUCCACUGAAUAUUGAGUAACUGAAUGAUCACUUCCAUUUUGUCUGGGCCAAGCAAGCCCAAUACAGGUUAUGAUAUUGAGGAGGAGAAGGUCAGGGGAGUGGGGGGUGGGAAACCAAUGGAAGCAGGCAGGUCCCAUCCCCGUUCCCACAGCCCCACCACACCCACUUGGUCCUUAACCAAUCUGACUAUGUUUACGAGGGAUCAGUUUGUCUCCUCGCUAGAUGGUCCAUCCUUUAGAGACAGCUGUAGAGGUCACAAGACAAACCUAAGUUCUAAGAGCCCUGUGUGAUCCAGGAGCAGUCGCUUGUGCCUUCAGAGGGUCAGUUUCUGACCCACAGUGAUGCUCUCCCAGAGUCGAGGGUGAGUUGUGGCCAGCCCUGCUCACCAUGAGACGCUGCAGCUCUUGCUCUGCCCUGAAACCCCUCCCUGCAGCCUGGCUGUAUUUGAGGGGACGCCUGGAAAAAGCAAGGCUUGAGCGAGUAACAGAAAGUGGGUGCUUCAGGAGCAGAAGAGAUACAGAGAAACUUGGUCUCACUGCGGCCACGUCCAACUGGUCCCAGCCUAACGCCGCUUGUCAUUCACCCUGAGUGGACAUGAUCUCCUGGGAGCUCAGAGGACUCUCCUGAGAGCUGGGGAUGUGGAGCUCUGGAGGGUGUGGCUGGCAUAGCCCCCCACAUGAGGCUGGGGCUCUGGGGCUCUGCAACUGGCCGGGGACUGAAGCUGGCCUGGCAGGUUUGCAGUGUAGACUGUCGGGUGUCUGGCUGAAGCUGCUGGCGUCCACGGUCACACUUCCCCCACCCGUCUGACCGGUUCUGGCCCCAGCAGUUAAGAACGGCUGGUCU